rnacentral:RNase_P_RNA from 1 species
CCAGCAGGCCGGUCUGUCGCUCCGGAGUAAUUCGGGGAGGAAAGUCCGGACACCACAGUGCAGUAUAGCGGGUAACGCCCGUCCGUCGAAAGGCGAGGACCAGUGCAACAGAAAGUAUGUACAGUUCGGCUGUAGUGAAAUCGGUAAACUCUAUGCGGUGAAACACCAUGUAGGCCAGCGUUUAAGGGCUGCACGUCCAAGCUGGCGGGUAGGUGGAUAGAACUUCGGAGCAAUUCGAAGUCCAGAUAAAUGACAGGCACUCCGGGGCUUUGGUCCCGGGGCUACAGAAUCCGGCUUACGGCCUGCUUUUUAU